GGCUGGUCCGAAGGCGGUGGGUCAGACACGAUUGAUUGCUUCUUCAGUCAGUUACAGAUCUCCUUGUUUCUUCUCUCCCUUCUCCCACCGCUGAACUUGACUAGCCUUUU
rnacentral:Y_RNA from 1 species